GCGAAAGUUCCAUGCUUCCUUGCAUUCAAUAGUAAUGUUUGAAACCCCUAUGGAAUGUAAAGAAGUAUGGAGCGCUCGG
rfam:Anopheles stephensi strain SDA-500 unplaced genomic scaffold supercont1.111, whole genome shotgun sequence.